ACUGGAAGAGCUGGUGUUCUUUGUUAUAUGGUUGAUUCACAUAGUCCUCAAUUGGCAUCCACUGGGCUGCCUCAACCUCUGAAUCUUGCUUCUGGAUGUCAAAGGAGAGCGGUCGUAACAUGCAAACGAAAAAUAAAUCUGAUUUGCGAAAGAAUGAAUUGUGGCUUUGUCUAAAUGCUAAAACUUCUACAAAUUCUGCCUCAAUUCCAGUUUCUUCUUUAACCUCCCGAAUUGCAGCUUCACAAAUAUCCUCACCCUCAUUGACUACUCCAGUAGGUAACUUCCAUAACCCUGUACCUUUAAAUCCACCACUCCUUUCUUGAACUACAAGCACCUCUCUAUUAUUAUUCACUAUAAAUGCUCCAAUACCCACUCGAUGUGAAGCAUUUACUGGAAGAGUAUCACGAGUAUUAAGCAGCCAACGCACUAACAUCAAGUAAUCUGGUUCAGCAUGAUGGUACCUAAACUCUUCCUGAACUACAGGAUUGACGAGAUUAGAAAAUUCAAUUGGCAAUUUGAUCCAAACAGCCCUCUUACCCUGUUGCUUCCAUUGUGAAAUGGAAGCUCUAAGUAACGGAAUAAAACUAUUGGAGUCCAUAUACUCCUUUAUUUCCACCAACUACUCCAUCGUAUAGAUCCUCAACUCCAUUGAGCAACUGAACCUGCUCAACUCCAUUAUCAGGAACUGUAUGCUCCUUCAUAGACUCCAAACUUGCCGUGGAUGACAUGCUUCUAAUCAAGAACGUAAAUUUACAGCUAUAUCCUUUCGGAGGAAGAAAAAAAGGAAAUGAUGCGCCCCCAAGAAGACUGCUUUUUGAAAGUGAUGGCCCAGCAAAAGAAGAUGAUGGUGGAAAUAUUCUGUGUGGGAGAGAACAUAUGAAAAGUUUAGUAGACCUGAAUCCGUGAUUCCGCAUGAAGCAGCAACUACUAGAGACGGAUCUCUGCAUAUAUUCCUCGUGAUAAAUUACACAAAGAAUCUGCGCAGCUGGACAAGCUGUGGUUUUGCAUGAGUGUCAGGUGCUCGACAAAAUUUUUAAGAGGAAGAGCAGAAAGAGAGCCCCGUUGACUCUGAA
rnacentral:misc_RNA from 1 species